GGGGCCGACUGGCUUUGACGGCAAGCGGUAGCACGAGUAAGCACGUCGGGAGUUGAGAGCAUCUCCUGUCAAAAAGGCUUUCAAACAAUAAAUGGCGAAAAGAAUUACGCCCUGGCAGCCUAAGUUUAGAUACUAGGUUUUAUGUCAGUGUCUCGUAAGCCCCCGGUUCUGUCGGGUUUACAUAUGAGGCAUCGAAUCUCAGAACUAGCGGAAGACAAGUCGUGGGUCUUUUUAGCGAAAUUCAGCGAAUAAGGCUUGGGUUGGGUUCGUGUUGUACCUUCACCAAGCUCGAAAAUCCAAACAAAACUAAACGUGUAGAAAGCUCGAGGUUAUUCUUGAUCGGACGAGGGUUCGAAUCCCUCCGGCUCCACCU
rnacentral:tmRNA from 1 species